rnacentral:rRNA from 1 species
AGAGUGAACGCUGGCGGUAGGCCUAACACAUGCAAGUCGAACGGCAGCACAGGAGAGCUUGCUCUCUGGGUGGCGAGUGGCGGACGGGUGAGGAAUACAUCGGAAUCUACCUUUUCGUGGGGGAUAACGUAGGGAAACUUACGCUAAUACCGCAUAAGACCUUCGGGUGAAAGCCGGGGACCUUCGGGCCUGGCGCGGAUAGAUGAGCCGAUGUCGGAUUAGCUUGUUGGCGGGGUAAAGCCCACCAAGGCGACGAUCCGUAGCUGGUCUGAGAGGAUGAUCAGCCACACUGGAACUGAGACACGGUCCAG